UACGGAGGGUGCAAGCGUUGUUCGGAAUUAUUGGGCGUAAAGCGCGUGUAGGCGGUUGUGCAAGUCCGAUGUGAAAUCCCUCGGCUUAACCGGGGAAGUGCAUUUGAAACUGCACGACUAGAGUACGGGAGAGGAGAGUGGAAUUCCCGGUGUAGAGGUGAAAUUCGUAGAUAUCGGGAGGAACACCAGUGGCGAAGGCGGCUCUCUGGCCUAAUACUGACGCUGAGACGCGAAAGCGUGGGGAGCAAACAGG
rnacentral:rRNA from 1 species